UAAGAAAAGUUGGACUACAAAUAAAUUA
rnacentral:sRNA from 1 species